rnacentral:rRNA from 1 species
AUUGAACGCUGGCGGCAGGCCUAAAACAUGCAAGUCGAGCGAGUGGCGGACGGGUGAGUAAUGUCUGGGAAACUGCCCGAUGGAGGGGGAUAACUUCCGGCAACGGUAGAUAAUCACGCAUACUAACAGGUGUGCCCAGGUGGGAUGAGCGUUGUGGUGAGGUAACGGCUGACCAAGGCGACGAUCGCUAACUGGGCUGAGAGGAUGAUCAGCCACACUGGAACUGAGACACGGUCCAGACUCCUACGGUAGGCAGCAGUGGGGAAUAGUGCACAAUGGGCGCAAGCCUGAUCAAGCCAUGCCGCGUGUGUGAAGAAGGACUUCGGAUUGUAAAUCACUUUAAGUGGGGAGGCGUUACCAUCAGAAGAAGCACCGGCUAACUCCGUGCCAGCAGCCGCGGUAAUCC